UAUUUAUUUAUGUUUAUCUUGCUUAGUAAUUGUUUAAUCAUGUGUAUUGCCUAUUUAAAGGCUUCUCCAUCACUUGUAACAUAACAUCAAGAAUCAAUAUACAAGUUUCUCUCAGUCUAAAUUUAUGGCUCUCUCUCUCUAUCUUGUGUCUAAACAAUAUUCACAAUGUAGAGAGUUAAGCAUUAUGGUUUAGAGGCUGCCUUAACUCUUUCUCUCUUAACGCAGCUUAAUACUUGUAAACUCAUUCUAGUAUAUCAAAACAAAUUUCAAACAUUGGCUUCAAGUAUUUUUUUUUCUUUCUCUUUGUUGUGAUAGCAGUUGGGACACCAAAACACACGAUGGCAGCCCCUGUCAAGAAUUGCUGAGCGCAGGCAUAACGUGCAUCAGCCAUGAGCGACCCAAUUCUCUCUGGUUGCCACAAUGACAGGGGAACCGGCUAGCAGGAAAGAUAUCGGAACACUUUUUGGUACAUAUCUGCCUCCUCUAUAUGGCAAACCGCUGCAGCAUCCCAUAAGAAAAGCUGCAGAACAUCUGUCCAUAUUCUCUACUUUGCGCAUGGGAAUAUAUUGAAAAAUGUCAUGAUGGAAACAAACUCACUUUCAAAGGCAAUUGAGAAGAAAGAAGAAACUCGACCAUUUUCUUUUCUUAUGUUAAAAAAAAAGAAAAUGUUUUUAAAAAAUUGUAAAAUUACAGAAGUUUUAAAAAAUGUUUUUUCUUUGGGGUUUGUGAUUUUUUUAUUUUGUUUUAUUAUUUGUGUGUUUUGAGGGGACGUGACAUCUCUCAUCUGCUGUCUCUGCAUCAUCUUCUCUUUUGUAUUACUCAAAUGAUUUUAUAAGAUUAAUGAAAGGAAUGUUAUUAUUCA